rnacentral:lncRNA from 1 species
GCGGUGCCUGUGGAGCUGGACGGCGGCUGGGAAGGGUCCCCGCCUCCAAGAUGGGUGCCAAAAUGAUGAAUAUCAGGUGUCUAUUGGUGAAAGUUGGGGAAGAUCCCAGACCUUAACAGCCCUUUGGUGGAGGCCCCCACAUUGUGGCAGACGCCUCCACUCUGACACCUCUUUUGGGUGUCUCUCCUUUCCUGGACAAGGAGUAUUGUGUUCCCAUCCUGGACACAGAAGCUGCCAGAUGCCUGUCGAAUUGGAUUCAUGUGUCUCUCCCAGAUGAACUAACAUUUGAAGAGUCCUUCAGCAUCUUUAUCAAAGAAGGACUUCCAGGCACUGAGGUGCACUGGUGACCGAUACAUUUCUGGCCAGGUAUGGCUCCCAAAUCACAUCUUCUCUGUCUCCCUGUCUGCCCUUGCUUUUUCUAACACUCAGCUCCUCCAGUGGCAUUUUGGGCUAGAAGAAGAGAGGCUGGAGGUAUGAUGUCCCUUUUGGGCUUUGUCCUAUCAGCUCAUUGCUCAUGGGAGUCUCCCCCAAAUAGCCCUGGCUCAGUAGCUGCCUCCAGUUCUGGCUGCUACUAAGCUGUGAGCUCCAGGACUCCUGGCAACUGCUGAUCUGAGGCCUUUGACAGAAACUGGGAGCACCUUGACCCUGAUGCCCAGUUUGGCCCCCACGCCCCUAUAUCCUAAGACUGCCUGUCUCUGUCUUUGGCCACUUUACUGUCUACCCUGGAUCCUGCCCUUCCUCUUCAGGGUCUAGGGGCCUGGGAGCACUGAGGCUGAACUUUCUUGCACCAUCAGCACCUUCAUUAAAUCCCUUGAAGAUUGCAGUUCUCAGAGCGAUUUCCAGUCAAAGGCCCUGCAGCCCAGGAAGGUAGACACACUGUAGGCCAGGCUGCAGGUGACCUAGCUGUCCUCAUGCCAGUCCUCACAGUAGCUGCUUUUUCCUUUAUGGGUUUCCAUGUGCCGGGCUAGAGAGCUAACCUUGGGAGUGGAAUCCCAGAGUCUGGCCUGGGCUCCCUCUGUCCCUAUCAGGGCCUCUGUGCCCUCAGCUCACCUGAAGGUCUAGAUGAGAUGAUUUCUCUUUCAGCCCUGAUACUCCUAAUUUCUUAUGCCCUGCUGUCUAAUUGGAGAUGAAAAAGGGGGAAGGUAAUAAAAGAUACAGGAAAGUACAGAGAACAAUUAACAAAGCAUUGUGUACAUUUUGUCAUAUUUGCCUCAAGUCUUCUGCUCCUGGAUUCUAACACUCAGGAUUACAAACUGAGGUGCACCCAUGUCUUGACUCUGUACUCGUAAUCCUGGGAAGAAGAGGCAGGAAGAAGGACUUUGGACUGUCUACACUGGUUACUCUGGGUGGGUUAGUUGGGAUGUGAGGGUGGUUAUGAAGAAAUGAAGCUUCUGGAGGUUCUAGAAUCCUAGGGUCCUGAAGUUGGAGCAGAUCUCUGAGAUUACCCAAUCCAAAGCUUCAAGCCCUGCAUGAUUCCCCAUUGCUGUUUGGCAGGAACGCUGUUGCUCAUUUUCUUCCAGGCAGCCUCUUCCAUGGCUGACUGGCUCUGAGGGUGAGAAAGCCCCUUUUUCUGUGUGUAUAUCCAAACUGCUCCCUUGUAACUACCCCAUUGGCCUGCUC